AGAUCUUCUUCAAGCCGGCUAUGGAGGAAGAACAGCUCAGACACUCGGGCAGCUGAAAUCGCUUAAAGUGGACAUCAUGCAGCCAUCCAAAAGGCUCUCUGUGUGAGGAAACCUUGCUGCAUGCAGACCACGUGAAGUGGCUCUGGACAGAAAUAUUUGUUCAAUUGUAUUGGUAUUCAUUGUAAUGGUGUGUAUAUUUCUUGAACAUGUUUGGUUUUGUAUAUUAUCAACACAAAUGUUUCGGUUUAUUUCCUAUUUUGAACCAGCUACAUUCUCCUACUUCAAAUCACUGUCUGUUUAUCCACAGUGUAGCCAGUGCAGAUGGUGAUCCUACAAGUCCUGCAGUCCUGUGAAGCAAGCUGCAGCAAAUGUCAACACAUUCAGAUCAUCAGUUUAACCUCGCUACAGCUUUAAACUUUCCCUGAGGUAACGGUGUAUUUCCUUGCCCCAUAACAAUAAUCAUGUUUGACCAACAUAGAAAAGCACAGUACUACUGUUAGCACUGGAUUUUUGUAUUGAUUACACUGUUAAAGUAAAGGGGAUUUUUCUUUGUUUUGUUUUUUCAGGCCUCUCCUCCUGCUGCCUCUGACUCCAGUCAUGCUGUCAACUCGAACACUGAUAACUGCACACAGUGAUUCUACAACUACAGGUCAAAGGUCAAAACCGUCCCAACUUUAAACCUUCACUCUGAACUGUACCGGGCUCUGCUUUUGGUUUUGAACAAAAGUGCCCAAACAGAACACAGUACUCACAUGAGGAACUGACUGAUUGUCUUUAGGACAGGACAACUAUUACUGUUGUAUUGUUUUGAAUCCUGUUGUCCACAUUGUGUGAUCCACUGUAUCUGUUGUUAUUUCAAGUUUCCUUUGUGUUUCUUUAACUUGAUUUUUUUUUUUUUGUGUUUUCUUUCCCUUUUACCAUGUAUCUGUCCUCAUAUCAAAAGAUGACUGACAAUGAUGAAGGGAAAAAAAACUGUUCCUUCAGUUGUUGCAGGCAGCUAAACUUUCCUCAUGUUAUAAUAUGCUUACCGUAUUUCCCCAAUUUACCUACAAGAGACGACAUGUUUUUAGAAACAAAAUAUGUACUUUGGGUUUCAGCUGGUAGGUACACUGAAGGUUUUUCACAUGUGCUUAGUCUUGGGCUAAUAUUUUGGACAGCAGUGAUCUAAGCAUUACAGUGUCAAACAAGUUCUGCUGAAGGUUUGUCUUCAAAAUGCUCAAAACACAGGACUUGGUUAAAACGAGCUGUGUGAACUAAGUUAUUAACAGUCCUGUAUCAUACUUUGAAAUCAAAUUUCAAGGUCUGUCUUUAAAGCCCACAACACAGGACUUGGCUUAAGGAGCCAUGACAAAUUUUAUGACACUUAGAAAAGAAAAGAGGUGAAUGUGGGUCCAGGGCUGCUGGAGUUUGAAUCCAGUGAGUAAUGGGGUGUUAGCCUCAGUCUAACCACCAUGUGAAGAGCCUUUAAUGAUUGGGCGGAAGAAUAUUAGAAACCACUGAAAUUGUGAUACCUUUGUUCAUCAAGAAUCACAGCAACUACAAUAUUGAAACCUCAAGCUUAAAACACACACUGGUCACCCAUGCAAAGAUUUUUGUCGUUUGGUCUUGUUUUUUUUUUAUUAAUAUUAUCAUCAGGGUUAGCUAUCUAAAGGCACCUGUAUUCCUAGGGAGAAAUUAAGUAAGAAAACCAGAACUUAACAAAAGAGCAAAAACAAAGACUCAAGCAAAGAGUUUACAAAAGGAAAGAGUAAACUUUAAAGACUUAAAAUAAAGAAACUCAAAUUAUGGCAAAACAGCCAACACAGCAGCCUGGUAUCAGGGGCAGCGGUGAGGACGGGCUGGGCACUGCAAAACAAACAAAUAAAUCAAUAAAUCUGUCAUGGAAACAUGCCACUUAAAUUAGUAUUUUAAAUGUAACACUACCUACCGAAAGAAAGGGCUCAGCAAGCCAGCAACCCAGGGC
rnacentral:lncRNA from 1 species